GGUUGAUUAGUGUAGUUGGUUAUCACAUCGGAUUUUGAGAAUACUCGACUUCCGGGGACCCGGGUUCGAAUCCCAGAUCGACCU
rfam:Blumeria graminis f. sp. hordei DH14, WGS project CATH01000000 data, contig: 006911